GUCGAUAUCACGCAUGAGGAAUACAUUUUGGAACUGUUGAAGCAUGUGACUAGGCGUUAUUAUCAAAAUAAGUGAUGGCCUUUGGACAUAGUGGAAGGCUGGUAUGGCAAACUGAAGUCACAUUCAGACCUAAAGAAGUCAGAGCAUCUGAAUGACAUCAUCUGAAAGAGGGUGCGAAAAAGAAUGAACUUUACCAGUCUCCAUAAAAAGACAACAUGGUGUUAAAAUGUUAAUUGCUUUAUGAGCUAAUGUAUGAAUAACCUCAAGACAUUUGAUGAGCAUCAAAGAAAGAGGGGUUGAAACGGUCAUGGAAAGUCUUUGCCAUUUACCACAAUUGAGGUUGACAGAAUGAGAAUUGGCAAACAAUAAAGCGUGAU